rnacentral:rRNA from 2 species
CGGAGCUUGCUCCACCGGAAAAAGAGGAGUGGCGAACGGGUGAGUAACACGUGGGUAACCUGCCCAUCAGAAGGGGAUAACACUUGGAAACAGGUGCUAAUACCGUAUAACAAUCGAAACCGCAUGGUUUUGAUUUGAAAGGCGCUUUCGGGUGUCGCUGAUGGAUGGACCCGCGGUGCAUUAGCUAGUUGGUGAGGUAACGGCUCACCAAGGCGACGAUGCAUAGCCGACCUGAGAGGGUGAUCGGCCACAUUGGGACUGAGACACGGCCCAAACUCCUACGGGAGGCAGCAGUAGGGAAUCUUCGGCAAUGGACGAAAGUCUGACCGAGCAACGCCGCGUGAGUGAAGAAGGUUUUCGGAUCGUAAAACUCUGUUGUUAGAGAAGAACAAGGAUGAGAGUAACUGUUCAUCCCUUGACGGUAUCUAACCAGAAAGCCACGGCUAACUACGUGCCAGCAGCCGCGGUAAUACGUAGGUGGCAAGCGUUGUCCGGAUUUAUUGGGCGUAAAGCGAGCGCAGGCGGUUUCUUAAGUCUGAUGUGAAAGCCCCCGGCUCAACCGGGGAGGGUCAUUGGAAACUGGGAGACUUGAGUGCAGAAGAGGAGAGUGGAAUUCCAUGUGUAGCGGUGAAAUGCGUAGAUAUAUGGAGGAACACCAGUGGCGAA